CCUACGGGAGGCAGCAGUGGGGAAUUUUCCGCAAUGGGCGAAAGCCUGACGGAGCAAUACCGCGUGAGGGAGGAAGGUUCUUGGGUUGUAAACCUCUUUUCUCAGGGAAGAACAGAAUGACGGUACCUGAGGAAUAAGCAUCGGCUAACUCCGUGCCAGCAGCCGCGGUAAU
rnacentral:rRNA from 1 species